UCUGAUAUAAACUAGGUAUACACCGUGGCAUCACAAGGGCCACCCAUACAGGGGCCCUGACAAAUGGCUACCACAUGCAAGGAAGGCAGCAGGCGCGCAAAUGACCCACUCUCGACGGAGGGAGGUAGUGACGACAAAUAACAAUACAGGAAUCUUUAGAGUAAUAAGUCCACUUGAAAUCCUUUAACUCUGAUCAAUUGGAGGGCAAAUCUGGUGCAGAGCAACUGACCUGUGCGUGCUGCAGCUGAAACUCCACU